rnacentral:rRNA from 1 species
CCUACGGGGGGCAGCAGUGAGGAAUAUUGGUCAAUGGGCGGGAGCCUGAACCAGCCAAGCCGCGUGAGGGAAGAAGGUACAGCGUAUUGUAAACCUCUUUUGUCAGGGAACAAAGGCGGGGACUAGUCCCCGGAUGAGGGUACCUGAAGAAAAAGCAUCGGCUAACUCCGUGCCAGCAGCCGCGGUAAUACGGAGGAUGCGAGCGUUAUCCGGAUUUAUUGGGUUUAAAGGGUGCGCAGGCGGCCUGUUAAGUCAGCGGUAAAAGCCCGGGGCUCAACCCCGGCGAGCCGUUGAAACUGGCUGGCUGGAGUUGGAGAGAAGUACGCGGAAUGCGCGGUGUAGCGGUGAAAUGCUUAGAUAUCGCGCAGAACCCCGAUUGCGAAGGCAGCGUACCGGCUCCACACUGACGCUGAGGCACGAAAGCGUGGGUAUCGAACAGGAUUAGAUACCCCUGUAGUC